CGUCUACGAAUUGAUGAAGCACACCGGUGACUGGUGCUGACGCAAUGUGAUUUCUGCCCAGUGCUCUGAAUGUCAAACUGAAGAAAUUCAUCCAAGCGCGGGUAAACGGCGGGAGUAACUAUGACUCUCUUAAUUUUGAGUGUUCAUGUGGGUGAUCCGGACCCGACCCGAAAGGGGAGGUGAUCCGGAGCCUAACGUGAGCUCAGAUGGCGGAGUGCCAUGCGUCUGUACUCGUACCACAAGGUACGGGAGGAGACCCGGGGCUGACUCUGGUAUUCCAUGAGGAACACCGAGUUGAUGUUCUGGAACCAACCACUGAGUGGAGGGAGACCCGGAGUCGACGAAGUCGUCCCAAGUGGUCAAGCAGACAGCAAUUCGGAACCGACCAAUUGCCAGGUGGGUCGAUUGCAGACACCACCAACGCGUCAAAACCGGUUGGUACCCCUACCUCCACGUGGUGCCGGCUGGAAUGCCG
rnacentral:ncRNA from 1 species